UUACUAUUUUGGCAGAUUAGUGCAAUAAAUUUAGAAUUUAUAAAUAUAAUUAAUAAUUAUAAAUAGUA
rnacentral:tRNA from 1 species